GACGAACGCUGGCGGCGUGCUUAACACAUGCAAGUCGAACGAAGUGGCGCACGGGUGAGUAACGCGUAAUCAACCUGCCCUUCAGAGGGGGACAACAGUUGGAAACGACUGCUAAUACCGCAUACUGAAGGAGGGGAUUGCGUGUGAUUAGCUCUGUGGAGGGGUAACGGCCCACCAAGGCGAUGAUCAGUAGCCGGUCUUGGGGGAUGAACGGCCAAAAUGGGACCGGGAAACGGCCCAGACUCCUACGGGGAGCAGCAGUGGGGAAUCUUCCGAAAUGGAGGAAAGGCUGACGGAGCAACGCCGCGUGAGUGAUGACGGCCUUCGGGUUGUAAAGCUCUGUUAAUCGGGACGCGGUACCGGAAUAGAAAGCCACGGCUAACUACGUGCCAGCAGCCGCGGUAAUUC
rnacentral:rRNA from 1 species